rfam:Oceanicola batsensis HTCC2597 scf_1099451005761 genomic scaffold, whole genome shotgun sequence.
ACGGAGGGCCGGAUGGCCGCGGGCCGGAAGGUCCGAGGAAAGUCCGGACUCCACAAGGCAAAGGUGCCGGGUAACGCCCGGCGGGGGCAACCCCAGGGAAAGCGCCACAGAAAACAGUCCGCCCCGCGGACCGGAGGUUCGCCGAAGGAUCAUCCGCCGGGGUCAGGGUGAAACGGUGCGGUAAGAGCGCACCGCGGGACGGGCAACCGGACCGGCACGGCAAGCCCCACCUGGAGCAAUGCCGAAUAGGGACCUCGCGCGGGCGACCGCAGGGCCGUCUUGGCCCGGAGGUCCGGGUUGGCAGCUUGAGGCGCCGGGGCGAUCCGGCGUCCAGAGGAAUGGUCAUCGAACCGGGGGCGACCCCGGGGAACAGAAUCCGGCUUACAGGCCCUCCGUGCGA